GCGCCCGUAGCUCAGUCCGGUAGAGCAGCUGGCUUUUAACCAGAUGGUCGGAGGUUCGAAUCCUCCCGGGCGCA
rnacentral:tRNA from 1 species